AUUGAACGCUGGCGGCAGGCCUAACACAUGCAAGUCGAGCGGAUGACGGGAGCUUGCUCCUUGAUUCAGCGGCGGACGGGUGAGUAAUGCCUAGGAAUCUGCCUGGUAGUGGGGGACAACGUUUCGAAAGGAACGCUAAUACCGCAUACGUCCGAGAGGAGAAAGAUUUAUCGCCAUAGGAUGGGCCCGCGUCGGAUUAGCUAGUUGGUGAGGUAAUGGCUCACCAAGGCGACGAUCCGUAGCUGGUCUGAGAGGAUGAUCAGCCACACUGGGACUGAGACACGGCCCAGACUCCUACGGGAGGCAGCAGUGGGGAAUAUUGGACAAUGGGCGCAAGCCUGAUCCAGCCAUGCCGCGUGUGUGAAGAAGGUCUUCGGAUUGUAAAGCACUUUAAGUUGGGAGGAAGGGCAGUAAGUUAAUACCUUGCUGUUUUGACGUUACCGACAGAAUAAGCACCGGCUAACUCUGUGCCAGCCGCCGCGGUAACAC
rnacentral:rRNA from 1 species